rnacentral:lncRNA from 1 species
UCAGGGGUGAACAAUCUUGCCAUCCACCACGUCGAAGUCUAUGCUAAACUGAGAGUAGUCAGCCUCUGGGAAGACACAUUUAACCUGAUCGAGAGCCAGUUCAAAUCCCUCAUUGAGGGUAUCAGCAGCCUCCUCCCAAAACUUGGUCUUCUCAGCUUCAAGUUUUGUCUUAUUGGUCUCCAGCACGACCUUUUUAGUGGUAAGCGUGGCGAUGGAGGCCUCUGCCUCUUUGAGUUUGGCUUCAACCUCUCCAAGCUUGCUUCCCCGAUCAGCUGCCUCUUUCCUGGUUGUCUCGAGGUCCUUCGCCAGUUGGGCAUUUUGUUGGCGCAGGGAGGUGAUCUCGGCUUCCAGUUGGAUAGCCUUGCCUCUGGAUUCAACCAGCUCGUCAUCAAGAGCGGUAACAGCGUGACCCAUCAGAAUCUCCGUUUUGACGGUCUCUUGGACUUGAAGGGCGAAUUCUCUCCUAGACCUCUCCACCAUAUUUCUUAGCAAAUUAACAGUGUGCUGCUGCGAGGCUUCAUAGUCACUUUGCAGUGACUCCUUCUCGUCGUGGAGUUCGUUAAUUUUCCUCUCCAUCUUCUCCAAUCGGCGGUGUUGGGUGGAGAAUUCCAGGGAGAGCACCAGCUGACGAGCAAGGUGCAUGUCAACCUCCUGCCCACUCCAGUUGAGGAGCUCUCGGUUCUGGAUCAGUUGCGUGGUCAGCUUGAUGACCUUGCAAAGUCCCUCAGUGCUUGAACCGGGGCCUGGGAGGGAGCUCUCACCACCACCUUCGGUAGUGGCAGCAGAGCGUUGGGGAAGUGGUGAGGCCCCAUGGUGAGAAGCUCCCCCCAAGUGAGCAGGCCCACUCCCAGCGGUUGGCGUUGGCAGAGUGGUUGGUGGGAAUGGGGCAGGAAGAGGUGUUGGAGAAAGAAGAGGUGUUGGAGAAGGGGAAGGUGUUGGCGUAGUUUGUGCUGGAAGGGGUGGAGAGGCACCCUUCUCAGUUUUCUCUGGCCUAAGUGGGGAAGAACCACCAGUCUCGGUUACCUUCCUCCUUCUAUGAAUCAGAGGAGACCCCGAGCUCUCCUCUUCAGUUGACGCGGCGGUAGAAUGAGCCUUUACUAACCGUUUUCUUUUCCUCUCGACCACUGGCUCGGGGACUUCAGCUGGCGUGACUGAGAGUGGAGAAUCCGAGAUGGUCUCGGUGGUCCCCGUUGAAGACCCAGCUGCUUUUCUGCUUCUGGCCAAAUCGAGCAGUCUUUGGCGCCUGUCUUUGCCAGAAGUCAUGUCUGCAUCAGUAAAGACAUCGAAAGGUUAGCCACUCAUUCAAGAGAUAAAGCAAGAUAUGCAUAGAUGUAGAUGAUGCAAGCAAAGGAGACAAGUGAAUGCACAGAGAUGCUAAGUUAAAGAAAAGAGGAGGGGAGGAGAGUUCAAACCUAUAUACUUCUUCAGCGCUUCAGCAUCAAACUCACGUUUGAUGAGGGUGGAGGAGCCAAACUUGGCACCCAGGCUCAUGAGCAACCCACAUAGCUCGCGCUCGUAGGGAGCCAUGGCCUCCAAACCCCUCGGUUUUUUGAACUCCACUUUGGAAACCCAGUAGAGUGGAAAUCCUUCAAGCAGAGUGGGGUUGCGCUCGUUGGAAGAGAUCAUGUAGAACUUGCCUUUCCAGUCUUUGAAGGACUGCUGGAACAGUCCCAAGAUGACCCUUCCAGAGACUCCGUUCAAGCUCAACCACGACCUAUCUCCUGGAUUUUUGGCCUCGAAGAAGUGCAAGAACACGUCGGUGGAGGGUGGGUGCCCGAAGUGCACAGGAUCUCAAACGCUCGGAUGAAUCCCCAAGCAUUUGGAUGCAGUUGGCAGGGAGCUACGUUUAGCUCUGUUAGCAGGUCCCUCUGGAAGAGAGUGAAGGGCAGCCGCAAACGCAACCUCUUGAAGACGGCUGAGUAGAUGAAGGUAAAGGGCACCUUGUUGUUAGCCCUGUCAUCCACACACACGGGCAUGCCUCGAGGGGGAAUACGCACAUUCAAGCGCGAGUCGUCCUCCCUGUCCAGAGCACAUGAAGGCUCGUCUGUGUCGCUCUUCAUGAGGGUUGCGAGGUGAUUGUUGGGGAGUUUCGUUGACGUUUCAGCCAACAGGGCCAGAGGUGCCCACUCGUACACCCUAGCAUAGUUAUGGUAGGAAUGAACCCAAUAGGGCUGUGCGCUCGGCGAAGGGGGCGCGGCAGUUGAAGGUGAUGGUGGUGCACUCGCAGAAGGCUGUGCACCAGGGUGAGCGACGAGGCGCGCGGUUCUUUUCGUGCGUGCCAUUGCGUAGUAACUGCAAUGGAGAAGAAAAAGGGUAAGGUGAAUGAAGAAGAAGGUAAUGAAGAAAUGGUUCAGUGAAAAAUAGGAGAAAGGAAGGAGAAUGAGAUGCUAUGGAGGAAGGAAGUAAAGAAGUGUAAAACAAUGAAGAAGAAGAGAAGACGCGCAGAGAAACCAUAGCGCGGGGUGAAGAAACAGUGUAAAGUAUAUGCAAAUGGCAGUUAUGGGGUGAUGCAAUCGGUAGAGAUGAGUUAAAGGACCAUGAGAUGAAGAAAAGAGGUACCUUUCGAUGAUCGCAGAGGGAUUCUGGGGGCCUGAGGUUGGAGAAGACGAAACACAGGCGUCGCAGUGACAAGACCUCGCCGGAGAUAACAGGGUGAGCACGCAGAGAGAGAGACGUACUUAGAGAAGAGCACGGAGAUGAAAGCACGUGGGACGAGGUUACAAGAGUUCACUGGAAAGAUGAGAGUGCCUAACAGCGCGUCGUCGGAGAUACUAACUCCGGAGUGCAAACGCGUCGUCGGAGAUACCGACACCGGAGUGCGAACGCGUCGUCGGAGAUACUCACACCGGAGUGCAAACGGCAGAGCAGAAACCAAAGAAAAUGCAACGGAUAGAAGAAAUGUGAGUGAGAACUGAUCCUGCCUGUUGACCAAAACGCUGGAGCUUUGCCUCGUCAAACUUGGAUCGACGUAUGCGUCGUGUUUGCCUUCGUCCUUCGCCGUGAUCCACCUCAAGAACCUGCAAAGACGAAACGGCGCCGCUNNNNNNNNNNNNNNNNNNNNNNNNNNNNNNNNNNNNNNNNNNNNNNNNNNNNNNNNNNNNNNNNNNNNNNNNNNNNNNNNNNNNNNNNNNNNNNNNNNNNNNNAGUAUACUCAAGAACUCGCAAGCGUAAAGAAGACAAUCUGAACGUGCGUACCUCAGAAGUUCGUUGGGAAACUCUUAUAUACCUGGGUACUUUCUCUCUCCUGGCAGUUACACACCUGGACACGUGGCUCGCAUCCAGCUGUACACGUGCCAUCAUCUGGAGCCUCCUUGACUUGGGCGCUGCUUCAGACUCUCUUUUGGCUAAGUUACUUAUGCAUGAUACUACUCAGUGCAUAGUUGCCUUGGAGCGCGAUCUCUUCUGGAUAGGCGAGUUCGGGUGCCUUCGUACACACCUUCCCUGUGGUCUCGCCGGCCGCCUUCAUGAUCUGCGCCACCUGUUCCACCGUGUAUGAUCGAGCAAGCUGUCCCCCGACCUCACCCUCUGGCCAGCUGGGAAAUGUCUAUCUGCCUUCAUCUCCGGCGAUGUCCUUUCUUCGGCGAUCUCUAAUCACUUGGUCGCCUGGGUUUACAUCUGGCGACUUCAUCUUUAACCCGGUGACCGCCGGUUCUGGUGUGCUGGAGAUCGGAGCACGCCAACUUAAUAACUGGCGACCACACGAGCCCCCCGACUUCCUUCCCUUCUGCCAGCCAGGCGUUUCAUCAACACGCCUAUACAAUAGCUUGAUCCCACGUCAUCACUUCCGACUACCGGGGUGGUACACAAGCCCCCCAGUCUUAAGCGAAAACUUGUCCAGCGAAAAGACUAAAGGAGUCAUGUCAAUUCCCACGUCAUCACAGACCUCGCGUACUUCUUCCUCUGUGAUGUGGUGCAUCCACCACCCGAGAAACCUCCUGCAAUGGUGUGGAUUUCCCCGUGUGUAGGCAUCUCGUGCUGCUGAGCCUCUCCACCUGCUGGUUGGGAGCUCGACGCGCCCCCGUCCUUCUGUCCAGCAAGUAGUCGUUUAGGAACCCGUUCUUGACCAGAUCGUGGAGCUGGUAUCCUAAAGCCAAACACGAAUCCACGGUGUGGCCAAAGCCCUGGUGGAACUCACACCAAACGUCUGGCUUUGGUCCCAGCACCUUGUCGCCCACCUUCUCUGGCGCUUUCAACCUAGCUGAUAUAUUGGGAAUGACGAUCAGGUCCGCCAAUCCCAUGACAAACUUGUGCUUAGGUGAGCGAUUGUACUCCCGGCGCGCUGGUUGCGGGCGUCCUUGGCCCCUGCCCUUGUUCUUCCUUGGGUCAUAAGGAUGGCGAGUCCUCUGAUCCCUCCUGGCCGCCGCUGUCUCCAGCACCCUCUGCGGCUGGAUCCUGGUCUGGGCACGUGGCCUGGCGGGAGCCACGCUGCCCCUCUUCUCGGCGACUUCACUCUCAUCGGCGAUGUGGGCCACCGCAAGUCGCCUGACCUCAGCAAACGUGGCAGGGUGAGCCCUGAUCAAUGCCUCGCAGAAUGGUCCCGGCAGCACGUCCUUCUUGAAUGCGUAGACCAGCAUCUCUUCAUCUUUGGCUGGCGAGCGGACCAUCUGCGCCCCAAAACGAUUCAGGUAGUCCCUGAGGGACUCUCCCAGAUACUGCCUUAUGUCAAACAAAUCGUAAGACACCCUGGGCGGUGCCUUGUUCACGAUGUACUGCUCGACGAAGAUCUUUGAAAACUGUUGGAAGUUGGUUAUGUGACCUGUAGGCAGGCUCACAAACCAUUCCAGCGUCGUUCCCUAGAGUGUGCUCACAAACAUCUUGCAGUACACGGUGUCUGACCCUCCUGACAGCAUCAUCUGCGUAUGGAACGUGGUGAGAUGAGCUUCAGGAUCCUCCACGCCGGUGAAAACAGCCUUCACAGGUACCACACUCGCAGGGAUGGGCGUGUCGGUAAUCGCCUGAGCGAAAGGCAUAGGAAAAACGCGAUGAGGCGUUGACGGCGCGACCUCUUCAGCGACUGGACGCCCUCGCUGCUCUUGAAGAGCUUGACGCAGUUCUUCAGUCACUCUGCUAAGCUCAUCAUUCCUGGCCCGAGAGGCGACCAGGUCCUCGUGCAUUCUUGCCUGCUCUAUGCGCGAGGCCUCCACAUUCGCCUGCAGCGAACGCAUAAUUUCCACCAUCUGCGCCAUGGUCAUGGCGCCUUCAGCAGCAACAGGUGCAACUGGACUUGAACGGUUACUUCUCAUUUUUCUCAUGAAAACUUGACAAAUCACAGAGAGUAAUGAACAACACCUCCUUCAGCGACGAUAGAUUCAGCGAUCAAUCGGUCAGAACUUCGCGAAACUUCGAAAGAAACCUUAAGAACACAGCGAACUUCCACAGAAACCUGCAACUCCACCAGAAACCAACGCUCUGAACAAAAACCCAAACGAACGGUGGAAAGCGCGAAAUCACCGAACAAAACCUAGAUGAACAGCGAACAAUGGUUGCACCAGCACACAACCACAUAGAAAACUGCAGAAACCUCCAAGAACUCACGCUGUGGAUGGGAACAGGUUUUAUACGACCCCAUGGUGGGCGCCUGAUGAUCCUGCCUGUUGACCAAAACACUGGAGCUUUGCCUCGUCAAACUUGGAUCGACGUAUGCGUCGUGUUUGCCUUUGUCCUUCGCCGUGAUCCACCUCAAGAACCUGCAAAGACGAAACGGCGCCGCUGCGGCCGAUCGCACUCCAACGUCCAAGUCAGUGACUGAACCACCAAUUACUUCAAGAGUAAGACUCAAGAACUCUAAGGAACCGUGAACCAGUUCUCUCUCUCAGUAUACUCAAGAACUCGCAAGCGUAAAGAAGACAAUCUGAACGUGCGUACCUCAGAAGUUCGUUGGGAAACUCUUAUAUACCUGGGUACUUUCUCUCUCCUGGCAGUUACACACCUGGACACGUGGCUCGCAUCCAGCUGUACACGUGCCAUCAUCUGGAGCCUCCUUGACUUGGGCGCUGCUUCGGACUCUCUUUUGGCUAAGUUACUUAUGCAUGAUACUACUCAGUGCAUAGUUGCCUUGGAGCACGAUCUCUUCUGGAUAGGCGAGUUCGGGUGCCUUCGUACACACCUUCCCUGUGGUCUCGCCGGCCGCCUUCAUGAUCUGCGCCACCUGUUCCACCGUGUAUGAUCGAGCAAGCUGUCCCCCGACCUCACCCUCUGGCCAGCUGGGAAAUGUCUAUCUGCCUUCAUCUCCGGCGAUGUCCUUUCUUCGGCGAUCUCUAAUCACUUGGUCGCCUGGGUUUACAUCUGGCGACUUCAUCUUUAACCCGGUGACCGCCGGUUCUGGUGUGCUGGAGAUCGGAGCACGCCAACUUAAUAACUGGCGACCACACGAGUCCCCCGACUUCCUUCCCUUCUGCCAGCCAGGCGUCUCAUCAACACGCCUAUACAAUAGCUUGAUGCCACGUCAUCACUUCCGACUACCGGGGCGGUACAAGAACAAUGGCAGUGCUUGGAGGGAGAAGAAGAAGAAGAGGCAAAAGAAAAAAUGGACCUUUUGCUCUGUGAAACUAAAUUAAUUUAAAAUUUUGUCUAUUUAUCCAUCUAAAAUGCUUUUAUUAACUUUAUUUUAAUAAAACUCAUAACUAAAGUNNNNNNNNNNNNNNNNNNNNNNNNNNNNNNNNNNNNNNNNNNNNNNNNNNNNNNNNNNNNNNNNNNNNNNNNNNNNNNNNNNNNNNNNNNNNNNNNNNNNAAUAAAAAUUGACUACCUUACUUAAAACCUCCGAGCUUGCUUCCCCGAUCAGCUGCCUCUUUCCUGGUUGUCUCGAGGUCCUUCGCCAGUUGGGCAUUUUGUUGGUGCAGGGAGGUGAUCUUGGCUUCCAGUUGGAUAGCCUUGCCUCUGGAUUCAACCAGCUCGUCAUCAAGAGCAGUAACGGCGUGACCCAUCAGAAUCUCCGUUUUGACGGUCUCUUGGACUUGAAGGGCGAAUUCUCUCCUAGACCUCUCCACCAUAUUUCUUAGCAAAUUAACAGUGUGCUGCGAGGCUUCAUAGUCACUUUGCAAUGACUCCUUCUCGUCGUGGAGUUCGUUAAUUUUCCUCUCCAUCUUCUCCAAUCGGUGGUGUUGGGUGGAGAAUUCCAGGGAGAGCACCAGCUGACGAGCAAGGUGCAUGUCAACCUCCUGCCCACUCUAGUUGAGGAGGUCUCGGUUCUGGAUCAGUUGCGUGGUCAGCUUGAGGACCUUGCGAAGUCCCUCAGUGCUUGAACGGCGUUGGCAGAAUGGUUGGUGGGAGUGGGGCAGGAAGAGGUGUUGGAGAAAGAAGAGGUGUUGGAGAAGGGGAAGGUGUUGGCGUAGUUUGUGCUGGAAGGGGUGGAGAGGCACCCUUCUCAGUUUUCUCUGGCCUAAGUGGGGAAGAACCACCAGUCUCGGUUACCUUCCUCCUUCUAUGAAUCAGAGGAGACCCCGAGCUCUCCUCUUCAGUUGACGUGGCGGUAGAAUGAGCCUUUACUAACCGUUUUCUUUUCCUCUCGACCACUGGCUCGGGGACUUCAGCUGGCGUGACUGAGAGUGGAGAAUCCGAGAUGGUCUCGGUGGUCCCCGUUGAAGACCCAGCUGCUUUUCUGCUUCUGGCCAAAUCGAGCAGUCUUUGGCGCCUGUCUUUGCCAGAAGUCAUGUCUGCAUCAGUAAAGACAUCGAAAGGU